AUUGAACGCUGGCGGCAUGCCUUACACAUGCAAGUCGAACGGUAACAGGUCUUCGGAUGCUGACGAGUGGCGAACGGGUGAGUAAUUCAUCGGAACGUGCCCGAUCGUGGGGGAUAACGAAGCGAAAGCUUUUCUAAUACCGCAUAAGAUCUACGGAUGAAAGCAGGGGACCGCAAGGCCUUGCGCGAACGGAGCGGCCGAUGGCAGAUUGGGUAGUUGGUGGGAUGAAAGCUUACCAAGCCGACGAUCCGUAGCUGGUCUGAGAGGACGACCAGCCACACGGGGACUGAGACACGGCCAGACUCCUACGGGAGGCAGCAGUGGGGAAUUUUGGACAAUGGGCGAAAGCCUGAUCCAGCCAUGCCGCGUGCAGGAUGAAGGCCUUCGGGUUGUGAACUGCUUUUGUACGGAACGAAAAACCUUCUCCUAAUACGAGAGGCCCAUGACGGUACCGUAAGAAUAAGCACCGGCUAACUACGUGCCAGCCGCCGCCGUAA
rnacentral:rRNA from 1 species